GUCAGGCUGCUGUAACAAAGAAAUCAGGGAGUUUGGCCCUGAGUAAUGCUGCGUUUGGCAUUGCAACCGUUUUGGAAAUGAUUGGGGUGGUUGGUGCCCGUCGUCCUGGCUGUUAACUGGAGACUUCUUACCAAAACAUGAGAAGGGAAGAAAGCUUAGGGGGAAGAAAAGUCCUUGCAACUUUAUCUUCAGUGAUAAAGGAUAGUGACCUCUCACCUCUGAGACCAGUGGGCAGCCUCUGCCACUCAGCCUUACCUAGCACGAUGUCAGGCCACCACACUCCCUCUGCUGGGGGUCCCUUCUCGGCGCUCACCCCCAGCAUUUGGCCGCAGGAGAUCCUGGCAAAAUACACCCAGAAAGAAGAGUCCAUCGAGCAGCCCGAAUUCCACUAUGACGAGUUCGGUUUCCGAGUCGAUAAGGAAGACGGUGCUGAGACAAACUCCAGCAAGCUCCUGGGGCUCCCGCUGACAGAGGAGCCGCAGCAGAGGCUCAAGUGGCAGGCUCACCUGGAGUUCACGCACAACCACGACGUGGGCGACCUCACCUGGGACAAAAUCGAGGUCACCCUGCCGCGUUCAGACAAGCUGCGCUCGCUGGUGCUGGCUGGCAUCCCGCACAGCAUGAGGCCACAGCUGUGGAUGCGCCUUUCUGGGGCCUUGCAGAAGAAGAGGAAUUCAGAGAUGUCGUACCGGGAUAUCGUGAAAAACAGCUCUAACGACGAGACCAUUGCUGCAAAACAGAUUGAAAAGGACUUGCUCCGCACGAUGCCCAGCAACGCCUGCUUCUCCAACAUGAACAGUAUUGGGGUGCCACGGCUACGAAGGAUCCUACGGGGACUUGCCUGGCUCUACCCCGAGAUUGGAUAUUGCCAAGGCACAGGCAUGGUGGCUGCCUCUCUGCUGCUCUUUUUGGAAGAAGAAGAUGCCUUCUGGAUGAUGUGCGCUAUCAUUGAAGAGCUGGUUCCUGCCUCCUACUUCAGCACCACCCUGAUGGGGGUGCAGACGGACCAGCGCGUCCUGCGGCAGCUCAUCGUGCAGUACUUGCCCCGCCUGGACAAGCUGCUCCAGGAACACGACAUCGAGCUGUCCCUGAUCACCUUGCACUGGUUCCUCACCUCUUUCGCUAGCGUCGUCCACAUCAAGCUGCUGCUGCGCAUUUGGGACCUCUUCUUCUACCAGGGCUCCCUGGUGCUGUUCCAGCUCACGUUGGGCAUGCUCAGCAUGAAGGAGGAUGAGCUGAUCCAGUCCGAGAACUCUGCCUCAAUCUUCAACACGCUGUCGGACAUCCCCAGCCAGAUCGAAGACGCCGACGUGCUGCUGCGGGAGGCCAUGCGCGUGGCGGGCUCGCUGACAGACGUGGCGGUGGAGACCCAGCGGCGCAAGCACUUGGCCUACCUCAUUGCCGACCAGGGGCAGCUGCUCAACUCCAGCACCACUGUCAACAAUUUGUCCAAGAUUGUGCGGCGCAGGACCCAGCGCAGGAAAUCUGGCAUCACCUCUCUGCUUUUCGGGGACGACGACCUGGAGGCACUGAAAGCCAAGAACAUCAAGCAGACGGAGCUGGUGGCUGACCUUCGCGAGGCCAUCCUCCAGGUGGCACGGCACUUCCAGUGCGUGGAUCCCAAGAACUGCAGCAUUGACCUGACUCCGGACUACAGCAUGGAGAGCCACCAGCGGGACCACGAGAACUAUGUGGCCUGUUCCCGCAACCGCCGGCGCCGCGCCAAGGCUCUGCUGGACUUCGAGCGCCACGACGACGACGAGCUGGGCUUCCGCAAGAACGACAUCAUCACGAUUAUUUCCCAGAAGGACGAGCACUGUUGGGUGGGAGAGCUGAAUGGACUGAGAGGUUGGUUUCCUGCAAAAUUUGUGGAGAUCUUGGAUGAGAGGAGCAAAGAGUACUCCGUUGCUGGCGACGACUCGGUCACGGAAGGCGUGACGGACUUGGUGCGAGGCACGCUUUGUCCAGCCCUCAAGUCCAUAUUUGAGCAUGGACUGAAGAAGCCGUCGCUGCUGGGGGGCGCCUGCCACCCCUGGCUGUUCAUCGAAGAGGCUGCAAGCAGGGAAGUGGAAAGGGACUUUGACUCCGUGUAUUCUCGCCUCGUGCUCUGCAAGACUUACAGGCUCGAUGAAGACGGCAAAGUCCUCACCCCAGAGGAGCUGCUUUACCGGGCAGUUCAGGCUGUGAACAUGACGCACGACGCCGCACACGCACAGAUGGACGUGAAACUUCGCUCCCUCAUCUGUGUCGGACUCAACGAGCAAGUACUACAUUUGUGGCUGGAGGUGCUGUGCUCGAGCCUGCAGACUGUGGAGAAGUGGUUCCAUCCCUGGUCGUUCCUGCGCAGUCCCGGCUGGGUGCAGAUCAAGUGUGAGCUGAGAGUCCUCUGCAAAUUCGCCUUCAGCCUGUCCCAGGACUGGGAGCUGCCGAUAAAGAGGGAGGAGAAGGAGAAGAAGCCGCUGAAGGAAGGGGUGCAGGACAUGCUUGUGAAGCACCAUCUCUUCAGCUGGGACAUAGAUGGGUGACCCACACCCCGCCCCGGCCCGGGGAACCUUCUCAACGGCACACGCUCCUCUCCCCCGCCCCUGUCAUCUCACACCCCCUCCCCUCCCCACGCUUGUACCUGUGACAAAAUCCCCCUCGGGGGGCUGCCAGAGCUGCAGACCCGAGGGCGGC